CACUGUCUGUGGUCAUUCAAGUCUGUUACAGUUACAUGCAUGAAAAUACAGAGAGACAGCAGCCUGAAGAGUGAGAGGUCCCCAACCAUCAAGUCGAGGAUCAACUUCCUGUCCUGCAAUCCAUGCAACAGCUGCAGACCUGGUGAGUGCAUCCUUUAAGUCCCACUCUGACCGAUUUUUAUUUAUUUAUUUUUAUUAUUAUUAUUACAAGUUUUUAGCCAAAAUCACAUUACCUGUGUCAUUUUUAAAAGUUUUUCUUCUACAGAACUUCAGUAGCUCAUUAGCAAUUCACCUCUGAGUCGUGGGCGGAGACAGCGCUGCUCUGCACACUCCUCUUCACACUAGCUUGUAGCCUAACAUUCCUGGUGAAGUAGAAGUAGCAGGUAACAUCGGAGCUAUUCGGCUCUUGGACAUGAUGAAAGUUAACAUCAUAAUUAGCUUUCUUACGAGCAUUGCAAUCCGCUUACACACACGCUUGUUCCGCGAUUGUCCUCGAUUUCUCUGAGUGUGGCCUGCAUAGCGAGGCUCUGGGGGCGGAGCUUGGAUUUGUGAUGUAGGAAAUCUCACUGAGCCUGCCAUUUGGAAUACUCAGAAAUACUCAGAAAUGCAAUUUAGCACUUAGUUUUCUCAUGAUAUGUCCCGUAGCAUCAGAAAAAUGACAUAUAAACAUGUAGACAACAAGAAAAACAUGAUUUUAUUCGGAGUGAGUGUUUAAGUUGCAACCAAGGACCUCAAAACUGCAUGUUUUGACAUUUGCAGUGUUGAUGUUUUCACCGACAUAUGUGCAGAAAAACAUUACACACACACUCAUGAUAAGUUAUUUUCCCUUAUCUUACAUUUACUCCACUCUUGAAGGUUUUGACCUCAUUUGCACAGAUCACGUACAGUAUAUCAGUGAACGAAGCUGUGCAGGGAAGAGUUUCAAAGACACAGAUCAUCAGAACUUUGGUUUGUAGAAAAUAAAGUUUGUUUUGAUUGUAUCUCAGCGCUGACGAUGAUCCUAAAAGCACUAAUAGUCACAUGGCUGCAACACUGAAGCUAUCUGACCUUUUCCUUUUUAUGUAACCUCCAGUCCAACACUUGAGUUAGUCCCCCAUCGAUCGACGGCUUUAUUUAUUGAUAGAAGCAGGAUUACUUUCUCAUGUUUGUGUUUGGUCAGGUACCCAGAAAGGUAGGAUUCGAAAACCAAACAUCUCUUUCUGUUGCAACCAUCUGUGUUGCAUAAUUCAAGCUACAACUGUGUUGCAUAACUCUCCUGACUUGGGGACUGCGUGUGCUGCUCCGGUUCUUGCUGAAACUGGUUAAAUAUCUUGAUGUUGCAAAAGCCAGGAAAAUUAUCUCCUCGUUUGGCAAACAGCUGUUUUUGUUUUUCGGUGAAAUCAACUCUGGGUAAAAGACGAAGUUGUAACGUGAUGUAAUAAGCCGUGUUACGACCCCUUAUCUCUCCUGCACUUGUUUUUGUCACACUUUUAUGUUUUUUAAAGCACUUUAUCGGAGGGACUUUAUCAUAUUUAUUGCACAUUUAUCUCGCUUUAUUACCCUCUUUAAAAAACCAACGAACAAAGUGUGUGAAACGUCUUUGUUUGCAGCCAAAGUGGCCUCCAGGUGAGAAUUCUGUAAAUACUCAGCGGCUCAUUGGCUUAAAACAAUGUUUGUAUACAUAACCGCAUUAAGAGAAUAAGACAGAUUGAAGAGAGAGGUAUUUUAAUGACUGAUUAACUUUGAGCCCAAUUUUUUAACCCUUCGGACAACCUUACAGUAUGCUAAUAUGAACUUAGAGACGGCAGGUUAAGAGCGUUCAGCGGUUUUUAACACUCGGUUCCUGUUCAUUUGAAGCUCCAUCCAGUCUUCUUGUCCUCAAAAUGGACAUGCAGAUAAAUUCUCAUAAAAUAAUCAUUUUUUAACUUUUUUUUUCACUUUUUAAACUCAAAUCUCUUAAACAAAUUCAAUCCUGGUCAUUAAAAAAAUAAUGAACAGAAAAUUCGAUGUAUUACCCUUUUUAUACCAGUUUUUGUGCGCCAUGUCACUGCUAUUUAAAACACAAAAUCAUGAUAUUUCAUGAGCGCUUCAAACUCUCUCAGUCCAUUAAUGAAGACUUGCGUGUGCGGCACAGAAGGGGUUAAAAUUACGUGCUGGCUCAAUCUGUUGUAUCACUGUGGGAAGGAUAAUUUAGAGCCCUGGUGAUCGACUGACUGCAAAAAGAAGGUUUUAAUAUGUUGUUAUGGUGCCAUAAACACACGGUCAAAAAACGUGUUUUUAAUGGAAGUCUAUUGUCCGAUUUACGGACAAAGUUGGUUGGAUGGAGCUAAAAUGCGGUGAUGGAGAACUACAGGUGACACCGAGUUUUUUUUUGAUAUGAAGAAAAAUAAGAUCUCUUUUUGAUGCCCCAAUCUUUAAAAGUGUGACUGUCAGCUCAAAAUAAAGAGGAAAAAAAAUGAUAAAUGUCCCUUAAAACGGACAUAGUAGGAACCAAGGGUUAAAGGCUUACUGGUUUUACUUUUUACACAGUUUUACAGCUACAACCAGAAAAUGUGGGAGGCUAGCCGUUUAAUUAGCUCCCCAUUUAGCCACUUUGGUAUAUAUUAGGUUAUGGCAGAAGAUGGCUCAGCAUGUAUCAUGUUAUUGUGACUGCAGUUUGGUGUGUCUAUCCAACAUUGUGUACAUACAGUAUGUGUGUAUUUAAGUGAAGAUCAGCAUAAGAGGUCUGUUUUAUGAGGUGACAUGUAGAGAGUGUGAGUUCGAGUAUAUUAAGAUGGUAAUUCCCUUUUAGGUCAUAGUUUUCCACUGGGAACAGUUUUGUAUUUAAACUCCUAAAAGCAAAUAUAUUCUUCGUGUUUCAAACAUCGAAGGGCUGAUUUUAAACAUGUCUAAGUGUCGUGAUAUGUUCUAAUAUUUAGUUUUAAUCUGGUUUUGGUCAUUUGAGUGUAUUUUCCCGAGUGUUCCUGUUCCCCCUGUAGUCCAGUCUUGUGAGUUGUCAGUUUGUUCCUGACCCCAGUUCCCUCAUGUUCUCAGUGUCUCCUGUUUUAUUUUGUGGUAGUUUCUAGUCUUCUCUAGUCCCUCUUCUGUGAUUGUCCUCACUUGUGUCUCAGUGUCUCACCUGUUGCUCGUUUCCCUGUGUGAGUAUAUAGUCCUUGUCUUCCCCUGUUUCUCUGGUUCAUUGUGUAGCUGUAUGUCGAGGUGUCUGCACGCUUGUGUCUCUGGUGAUUUUUUGCUUCUUUUGUGGAUUUUCCUCUUUUUUUCCCCCCUUUUUUUGAAUGUAGUUAUUUUAAAAUAAAUCUUUUGUUGUUCUGAAUUUUCAGUCCUUUUCCUGUUUGUUUAAUUCUGAACCCUGACACCAAAUGUUUUUCGUGCACGUUUGUUUCCUAAUUCAUACGGCUUAUUGUCCCUUCAUUAACGGGGAUUUGAGAUUUAAACAUGGCCGACCAAAAGGAGAGUGGAAAAUUACACCUUUACAGUAAUCUGGACUUACUCUGGAGGUUUUAGGAUUAACUUUUCUUCAGCUGGUGUCAAUUAAAGAAUUCUAAUAUAUGAACAAAUGCUCAUAAUAAUCCUCUGUGCUUCUUACAAAAUAACUUUUGUUUUAAAAUCUGUCUUAAAAUUGGACUUUGUCCUGCUGUAGUUUGAAAUAUGAGCUGUGAUGUUUACUGUGAAUUUUAUUCCCCCUGAACAAACAUCUAAAUUCACUCUUUCCAUCCUUUAUUUACAUCCUGCAGCAGCUCUCUUUAUUGUGCGCCGACGGUCAAACGUUUACCCGUGAGUAAUGGCCGACUCCAUCCAAGCAGCGUGGAAAUAUGACGGGAUCAAAUACUAUUUCCUGUUUACAGGAAUUUCUGGAGCAAACAGUUUAUACAGCGCAGUAACACACAGUGGAUAACAGGACGCUUAAAGGUGCUCCAAAUAAAGGCAUAAUAAAUAAAAUAGUGGCGGCUGCGUUUAAAGGGGCGUGAGCAACAGGACGGACCUUUUAUUGUGUUUGAUUCAAUACGUAUUGUUUUAUACUUUUGUGCUCAGUCAAGGUUUUGUUUACAACUCGGUCUCUUAGCGACACGUUUGUACUGUUCAGCUUCCAGGAAGUGAACUCUGGAUCACACAAAGAAAAAAAAAAACUGAGUCGUUGAGGCAGAUUUAAAAAAAGCGUCCCACCCCUCACACACAAACCUCUCCCCUCUCUGCUCCACAAUAACCUGUACCUGAACCUGUAACGCCCUCCCCACGAUCCCCCCCCGACAGAGCAAGAAGCCGGCCGGCAGAAGAUCCUACGCUAGCUUCAAAUAGGAUUCACCAUGUCGGAUUGUUUGUGAGUAGCGGCAGUAAACGCCAGCUCUGGUAGUGACAGCUACCGUGUUGACAUUACAGAGACUAAUAAGAGUUAUUUAUGUAACAUGUGCCACGAUAAAAGGUGAUAAAAAUGACCUGUUCAACUAAAACUCUGCUGUCUCUGCGUCUGUUUUCAGGACCAAAUCCUGGCAGAGAUUUCUCCACCGCUCAAAGGAUGACCUUUAUUCGAGUUAGAUUCCUUAUUUGGUCCCAUUUCCUCUCCGACUCCGCCCUUUCUUCUGUCGGCUUGCGUUUUCCUCCCACUUUUGGCGGUGGGGCGAGCAGAAGUGUUAUUUUUGCGUCCUUCUCCAUCACAGCUCCUGUAGCUAAGCUGCUAUGCUACUUUUAGCCGCUCAGAGCUCCGCGGAGGGCCGGGAGAGUGGGAGUGGGAGAGGACGAGUCAGAACUACACGAGAGGGGCGUCGAAUACAUGGAGAGGCGGAGCAGGAGAUUGACCAAUAGGAGCUGUCCGGGACGGAUGGCUCCUAUUGGUCAGUGUUUUUGCAGCCCUGCACCUGCUAGUGUGAACGGAUUUUUUCCAUUCUUUUUUCUCUUCACUUUGUGGAGAUCGCACUAUAGGACCAUGAUCGCCAUAGAAACAAGGUUCAUUAUAAUUACCUAUCUCUCCAAUCGUCAACCAUGCCUUUACACCAGUUUUAUAUUUUAACUAAUUACUGUAUAAACCAACAUACUGACUUUCAAUGAUGUAAAUUUGAUAAAGUUUUAGUCGAAGUGAAUUCAGACUCUUCAUUGUCGUUGUAUAAUUAUGCGAUGAGACACGAUGACACAGCGAAAACCUCGUCUCUGUUUCAUCUUUAAUCCACCUCUAAUCUUUCACUCAGUGUCUGAAUCAUUUCUGCGGCAGAGGAAGAUUUUUUUUUUAUCAUGUUUCAUAUUUUGGUGUAAACAGAAGAAGAGCCGGCCACCAUGACAGAACCCGACAGAACUUCAUGGUGGUUUCCAGACAGAGUGAUGAGGGAUUUCUGGGAAGUGCGGAGCAGAAACAUUACAGCGCACCACACCUGUAAACAAACUGUGUCUCUUUCUCUCUUUUGUCUUUGUUCUUCGGUUAUUUAUUCCUCACACAGUCACUUCCAUUAGAUGGAGGAUAAUGCGCCGAGUCGUGCCAGGUUAUGAGCGGAUUAAAGCACCUGAG